AACGAACGCUGGCGGCGUGGAUUAGGCAUGCAAGUCGUACGCGAAAGGUUCCUUCGGGGGCCGAGUAGAGUGGCGAACUGGUGAGUACAAGGUGAAUAACGUGCCUCGAAGUGGGGGAUAACUUCGCGAAAGCGGAGCUAAUACCGCAUGGUCUUUCUUAUAUAACAGUGAGAAAGUAAAGCAGCAAUGCGCUUUGAGAUCGGUUCACCUCCCAUUAGCUAGUUGGUGGGGUAAUGGCCCACCAAGGCUUCGAUGGGUAGCUGGUCUGAGAGGAUGGUCAGCCACACUGGGACUGAGAUACGGCCCAGACUCCUACGGGGGGCAGCAGUCUAGAGGCUUCGACAAUGCCCGAAAGGGUGAUCGAGCGACGCCGCGUGCGGGAUGAAGGGCUUCGGCUUGUAAACCGCUUUUCCUUGGGAAGAAGGCCCGCUUCGUGAAAGUGGGAUUGACGGUACCAGGGGAAUAAGCCCCGGCUAACUCCGUGC
rnacentral:rRNA from 1 species